rnacentral:lncRNA from 1 species
AUGAUUUUCAUAAAACUUAAUGAUUUUUUAUAUGUAUCUCUAUUAUGCAGUUCAUGUAGGGAACUUGAUAAGAAUAAUUUGGUUGCGUCGUUGAGUCCAAUUCAAUGAAUUUAGGAAAAUCUGAAAGUUAAUUUGUGCUUCUCACGAUUAAUUUAGGGCAUUGUCAUUCAUGGUUUAUAGGAAGAAUAACUGGAGAUCGAUUUGUAUGCAUAUGUGUCCUGUGUGGAGAAGGACCCUCUAACUAGCAAUUCACCCAUUAAAUCACCAAUUUCGUCCAAAGUAUUUAGAGUAUUUAAAUCUGCUUAGUUUUAGUCUUAAAUUUGUCAAAAACAAACCCCCUUUCUAUUUCGUGUUUUUAGGUAAGAAUUUGUCCAGAUUGGUUGUUUUACAUUGUUUUGAGUCUUUUGAGUUCAAUUUUCGUCCAAAUUGCCUCUAGGUAUUGUUUUGAGUCAAUUUAACUUAGUUUGUGUUUUUGAGUUAGUUUAGCUUGUUUUAAGUUGUUUGAGUCUAGUUUCAGUUUUUAAGUUUAAUUUGUGUUGAUUAGCAUCUUUAACUAAUCCCCGGCCUAGAACGAUCCCUACUUACGCGUACUACAACUAUCUUAAUAGGGUUUAAUUUGUGUGCUGUUAUAUAUCACAUCAAAUUUUGGCGCCGUUGCCGGGGAUUAGUAAAAUUGCUAAUCACCCUGUUUUUUUAAUUUUACUUUUGAUAUUUGAUUGAGUUUUCUUUAUUUGAUUUCAGGUACUAC